rnacentral:rRNA from 1 species
CUACGGGUUGCUCCAGUGGGGAAUAUUGCACAAUGGGCGCAAGCCUGAUGCAGCGACGCCGCGUGGAGGAUGAAGGCUUUCGAGUUGUAAACUCCUGUUAAGUGGGAAGAAAGACUGCUGGUGAAUAAUUAGCAGGGAUGACGGUACCACUAGAGAAAGCACCGGCAAAAUUCGUGCCAGCAGCCGCGGUAAUACGAAGGGUGCAAGCGUUAUUCGGAGUUACUGGGCGUAAAGAGUAUGUAGGCGGUUUAUAAGUUAGUUGUUAAAUUCCACGGCUUAACUGUGGGUGUGCGGCUAAACUGGUAGGCUAGAGCGCAGAAGAGAGGAGUGGAAUUCCCGGAGUAGCGGUAAAAUGCGUAGAUCUCGGGAGGAACACCGGUUGCGAAGGCGGCUUCUUGGUCUGUGGCUGACGCUAAAGUACGAAAGCGUGGGGAGCAAACAGGAUUAGAUACCCUAGUAGUC